rnacentral:rRNA from 1 species
UACGUAGGGUGCGAGCGUUAAUCGGAAUUACUGGGCGUAAAGCGUGCGCAGGCGGUUUUGUAAGCCAGAUGUGAAGUCCCCGGGCUUAACCUGGGAAUGGCAUUUGGGACUGCAAGGCUUGAGUGCGGCAGAGGAGACUGGAAUUCCUGGUGUAGCAGUGAAAUGCGUAGAUAUCAGGAGGAACACCGAUGGCGAAGGCAGUCGUCUGGGCAGAUACUGACGCUGAGGUGCGAAAGCGUGGGGAGCAAACAGG